CUUCCUGUUUUCAAGACUCUCUUAAAUCUUCUGUUGUGAUCACUGGUGAAGUGUAUGGAGAAGAGCUACAAGUAGAUUCAAGUUUCUACUGCAUCUGCACCCUCAGGAGUCCUCUAUUCUCCUGAGAUCCAUCUCUUGGCCCCAACAGUUUUUGCUGACUUCUUAACCAGGGUCUGGCAGCAUCUAUCCCAGCGAUGGGAUGCUGCCAUUUUGGAGAGGUCUCAGCCAGUGAUGAAGAGUGGUCACAUGUAGGGAAAGUUUGGUGUGAUGAUUAUGGCAACUAGGACCAGUGCUGAAGCUAUCACCUCUCCUACUGCCAGCAUUGUGCAAUGGUGUGCAAUGGUAUCAUCAGCCCACAAGACAGAAUGAUGAAGAAG